rnacentral:rRNA from 1 species
CCUACGGGAGGCAGCAGUGAGGAAUAUUGGUCAAUGGGCGGGAGCCUGAACCAGCCAAGUCGCGUGAGGGAAGACGGUCCUAUGGAUUGUAAACCUCUUUAGUCGGGGAGCAAUGCCGGGCACGUGUGCCCGGAGGGAGAGUACCCGCAGAAUAAGCAUCGGCUAACUCCGUGCCAGCAGCCGCGGUAAUACGGAGGAUGCGAGCGUUAUCCGGAUUUAUUGGGUUUAAAGGGUGCGUAGGCGGAUUUUUAAGUCAGCGGUAAAAUGUCCGGGCUCAACCCGGGCCGGCCGUUGAAACUGGGGAGCUUGAGUGGGCGAGAAGGAUGCGGAAUGCGUGGUGUAGCGGUGAAAUGCAUAGAUAUCACGCAGAACUCAGAUUGCGAAGGCAGCAUACCGGCGCCCGACUGACGCUGAGGCACGAAAGCGUGGGGAUCGAACAGGAUUAGAUACCCGGGUAGUC